UGACUUCUUCACUAAUACCACAUUUCAAGGUCGACCAUGCAUCCGACAACUUCAUGGGCUCCAGUGGAGCUGCAUUUCUUGUUCCAAGAUUGAUUGCACCUUGUCAACUGCUCCUUUUGCCACAAUAUGAGAUCCAUAUAAACACCAAUUCCCAGAGUAAGCUGCUAUGAGGUUUUCAAUGGGCUUGAUGGAAAACUGUGGAAGAGAAACCUAGCCAGGGCCUACAAUUACUCUUGUAACAAACACCAAGUUUAAUGAAAGAGAUGCAAUGGCUUAUGAAACAAGAAAGAAAGCUUGCACGAGGUUGAAAACAACAUAUCUACAGUUUGCAUAAUAAAUAUGCCUAAAACAGUGCUAUUUUCAGAGAAAGACUUCCUUGGGUUAAAGCUGAACCACAGAUAAGCCCAGUCUACAAAAAAACUCCUCACACUGGCAUAUUUUACUGGGAUAGUUUCAGCCACUGGCAGCAGUUCAGCUCUGAUAAGUUUUUUCAGUAGUUUACACCUUUCACUAUAUAAUUACAAUUUAUAACCAUAAAUGUUUGCCUUCACAGGUUUAUUCAUUUCUAAAGACUUUUACAGGUUCACAGGAUUUAAUGUUCUGAGCUGAAACUUUAUGAUUUGACUAUUUUAAUGAAAUUAUUAAAAUAUUCUCAAAUUUA